CGCUGCGUGCAGUUGAGGCUGCACUUCAGUCAGCUCUCGGAGGCGAGCUGGGAAAUAGUGACUGCUGACCCAUGACAAAGAAACCUCUUUACUAUGUUCUAUUUCCAAGGCCUGAAGAAGUUCUCUGGAACACAUACCGUGUCCUGAGUUGGCUCCUGCCGGUGGGUUCGUGGUCCCAGGAAGGAAGCCCCGGACCUUUGCAGACCCAGGUUAAAGGAGAACCUCUUAUUUGAGAUGUGCCAAGCAUCACAAAUUUGGAUUUAUUUGGGAAAAGUCAAGGGAGCUGGUGGAACCACACAAUGGAUCUUAAAGCUUCUGUUCCACCUGGCAUACGUUAACACAAGACACUGUAAAUCACUUGUCUGCAGACGGGCUUGUAUAAUCCUCCAAAUUAUUUAGAAACUAAAAGUAAGAGAGAAUGACCAGUU